rnacentral:rRNA from 1 species
UACGUAGGGUGCGAGCGUUGUCCGGAUUUAUUGGGCGUAAAGAGCGUGUAGGCGGCCAGGUAGGUCUGGUGUGAAAACUCGAGGCUUAACCUCGAGAUGUCAUCGGAAACCAUCUGGCUAGAGUCCGGAAGAGGAGAGUGGAAUUCCUGGUGUAGCGGUGAAAUGCGCAGAUAUCAGGAAGAACACCAAUGGCGAAAAGCAGCUCUCUGGGACGGUACUGACGCUGAGACGCGAAAAGCGUGGGGAGCGAACAGG